AGCGGCAGGCUUAAUACAUGCAAGUCGAGGGGCAGCACGAAUAGCAAUAUUUGGUGGCGACCGGCAAACGGGUGCGGAACACGUACGCAACCUUCCCAAAACUGGUGAAUAGCCUUCCGAAAGGGAGAUUAAUACACCGUAAUAUAAUGGAGUGGCAUCACUUUAUUAUUAAAGCUUCGGCGGUUUUGGAUGGGCGUGCGCCUGAUUAGGUAGUUGGCGGGGUAACGGCCCACCAAGCCUCCGAUCAGUAACUGGUGUGAGAGCACGACCAGUCACACGGGCACUGAGACACGGGCCCGACUCCUACGGGAGGCAGCAGUAAGGAAUAUUGGUCAAUGGACGCAAGUCUGAACCAGCCAUGCCGCGUGAAGGAUGAAGGCCCUCUGGGUUGUAAACUUCUUUUAUCUGGGACGAAAAAAGGGGAUUCUUCCUCACUUGACGGUACCAGAGGAAUAAGCACCGGCUAACUCCGUGCCAGCAGCCGCGGUAAUACGGAGGGUGCAAGCGUUAUCCGGAUUUACUGGGUUUAAAGGGUGCGUAGGUGGGUAGGUAAGUCAGUGGCGAAGUCUUCGAGCUUAACUCGGAAACUGCCAUUGAUACUAUUUAUCUUGAAUACUUUGGAGGUAAGCGGAAUAUGUCAUGUAGCGGUGAAAUGCUUAGAUAUGACAUAGAACACCAAUUGCGAAGGCAGCUUACUACACAGUUAUUGACACUGAGGCACGAAAGCGUGGGGAUCAAACAGGAUUAGAUACCCUGGUAGUCCACGCCCUAAACGAUGGAUACUCGACAUUAGCGAUACACAGUUAGUGUCUGAGCGAAAGCAUUAAGUAUCCCACCUGGGAAGUACGACCGCAAGGUUGAAACUUAAAUGAAUUGACGG
rnacentral:rRNA from 1 species